rnacentral:rRNA from 1 species
AGAGUUUGAUCCUGGCUCAGGAUGAACGCUGGCGGCGUGCCUAAUACAUGCAAGUCGAGCGAACGGACGAGAAGCUUGCUUCUCUGAUGUUAGCGGCGGACGGGUGAGUAACACGUGGAUAACCUACCUAUAAGACUGGGAUAACUUCGGGAAACCGGAGCUAAUACCGGAUAAUAUUUUGAACCGCAUGGUUCAAAAGUGAAAGACGGUCUUGCUGUCACUUAUAGAUGGAUCCGCGCUGCAUUAGCUAGUUGGUAAGGUAACGGCUUACCAAGGCAACGAUGCAUAGCCGACCUGAGAGGGUGAUCGGCCACACUGGAACUGAGACACGGUCCAGACUCCUACGGGAGGCAGCAGUAGGGAAUCUUCCGCAAUGGGCGAAAGCCUGACGGAGCAACGCCGCGUGAGUGAUGAAGGUCUUCGGAUCGUAAAACUCUGUUAUUAGGGAAGAACAUAUGUGUAAGUAACUGUGCACAUCUUGACGGUACCUAAUCAGAAAGCCACGGCUAACUACGUGCCAGCAGCCGCGGUAAUACGUAGGUGGCAAGCGUUAUCCGGAAUUAUUGGGCGUAAAGCGCGCGUAGGCGGUUUUUUAAGUCUGAUGUGAAAGCCCACGGCUCAACCGUGGAGGGUCAUUGGAAACUGGAAAACUUGAGUGCAGAAGAGGAAAGUGGAAUUCCAUGUGUAGCGGUGAAAUGCGCAGAGAUAUGGAGGAACACCAGUGGCGAAGGCGACUUUCUGGUCUGUAACUGACGCUGAUGUGCGAAAGCGUGGGGAUCAAACAGGAUUAGAUACCCUGGUAGUCCACGCCGUAAACGAUGAGUGCUAAGUGUUAGGGGGUUUCCGCCCCUUAGUGCUGCAGCUAACGCAUUAAGCACUCCGCCUGGGGAGUACGACCGCAAGGUUGAAACUCAAAGGAAUUGACGGGGACCCGCACAAGCGGUGGAGCAUGUGGUUUAAUUCGAAGCAACGCGAAGAACCUUACCAAAUCUUGACAUCCUUUGACAACUCUAGAGAUAGAGCCUUCCCCUUCGGGGGACAAAGUGACAGGUGGUGCAUGGUUGUCGUCAGCUCGUGUCGUGAGAUGUUGGGUUAAGUCCUGCAACGAGCGCAACCCUUAAGCUUAGUUGCCAUCAUUAAGUUGGGCACUCUAAGUUGACUGCCGGUGACAAACCGGAGGAAGGUGGGGAUGACGU